AGGUGUCAAGGGAAGGACCCGGUGGGAGGUAAUUGAAUCAUGGAGGCGGGUAUUUCCUGUGUUGUUCUCGUGAUAGCAAAUAAGUUUCAGAAGAUCUGAGGGUUUUAUAAAGGGGAGUUCCCCUGCACACACUACCUUGCCUGCCACUACGUAAGACGUGACUUUGCUUCUUUUUUGCCUUCAGCCAUGAUUGUGAAGCUCCCCAGCCACGUGAAACUCUCCAGAUGGGACCAUCUAGUUGCAGGAAAACAAGCUCAGGGCUCCCACUGGUUCUACAUUAUGAUGCGUGCUGUGAUGAGAAAUUCCGAAGCACACAUUAGAAGCAAUGACGGUUAUCAGCCUAGCAGAGGCCGAUGGGCUUCCUCGGAUCCUGCCAUGGCACCAAAGGAAUGCGAGAAAAUGAUUGGCUGGGGAGCUCUUCCACAUUGUCAGGAACGCUGGAAAAAGGCUGAAAGAGAAUGAUGAGAAAAAACCUGGAGAAUGGCAAAUGCUUCACUGAAGCAAUCUGCUACAUUCCUCCUUGCAGAGUGGGAUGCCUGGCCUGAGAUGAGAGAAGUAAUAGGACUGAGAGGAAGUGAAAGAAAUAGAACCCAAGGAGAGCAGGACAGAAAGAAAAGAUUUAUAGCAUGGAUUGUAGCCACUCUAAUAUUUGGGCUCCUCCUGAACUUAAUCCAACUUCCACGUUACUGAAAAUUUAUUAUUUCCCUUAUGGAUUUGUAGAAAACAGAUAGCAAAUGAAUAAGGAAAAUGGAAAGAGACCCAAAAAAGAGACAAAAAAUGGAGAGGACUGUGAGUCCAAUUCCUGUUUCUCCUGCUUUUGUCAGACCAAGUAAAACACUUAAAAUCGUCAGUGGAUAUUGGCUGAACCUUGCCAUUUUGAAAGUGGCUAUUCAAACCUUUUAGAGACGGAGCUGGUCAUUGCCUCAGUUAUUGGCCAAGGUAUGACAUGAACUAAUAGCACUUCAGGGACAAUGGCCUUUCAAUGACCAUCAGGCAUCAGUGCUUCUAAAUUGGCCAAUUUUGAGUGUCAGGAGGCCAGAAGACAUACCAUCACAUAAGAAAAACACUUUAAUCCAGUCAUUAUAAAGUAGGAGCAAAACAGAGUGGCUGUGGUGUUUAUAGCUAUAGCUGUAAUCUCAGUCUAGGUCCAUUCAGUCAAGAAGAUUGUUUCCAGUCUACUAGAAAACACUUCCAAUAAGCCUGAAUUACAACCCCAAUAUCAUUUUAGUUUUUUAGAUUAACAUGUGAAAUAAAGAGUUUUUCUUAGUCACAGUUACUUUUACUGCCAAAAACCCAAUGAAUAUCUUUCCCUCUGGAACCAAAUACACUGUUUAAUUUUAAUCUCUUAGCUGACUGACACAGGAACAAAACUGGUUUUGCAUUUUCCCUUUUCAUUUACUUUUCUGCAAUUGAUCACUGGCCUUAAAAAGUUGAGAAG
ensembl:lncRNA novel transcript